rnacentral:lncRNA from 1 species
AAUCUGACUAGGAACCAUGAGGUUGUGGGUUCAAUCCCUGGCCUUUCUCAGUGGGUUAAAGAUUUGGCAUUGCCAUGAGCUGUGGUAUAGGUUGAAGACGAGGCUCAGAUCUGGCGUUGCUGUGGCUGUGGUGUGGGCCGGCAGCAACAGCUCUGAUUAGACCCCUAGCCUGGGAACCUCCAUAUGCCAGUGGGUGUGGCCCUAAAAAGACAAAAUAAAUAAAUAAAUAAAUAAAAUUUAAAAAGACAAAAACAUAAAACUAAAAAUAAAUAAAACAUCAUGUUUGAUUACAUCGCCUCUUCAACUGGGGGAGGGAGCAAGAGGAGAGGAGGAAAGAAUGUUUUCCUCUGGUCAUUUUCUCCAGAAUAAAAUGCUAAUUCCUUGACCUUCAAAAAAGACAAAGGGGGGUGUGGAAUGAGUCUUCUUUCCCUCAUAAGCCAACUCCAAUUGAUCUCUGUUGACCGAAUGGAGCACAACAUGGGAAAGGACUCUAAGGCUGUAUCCAGAAUUCCUGGAAAGGAUGCCCAGGAUCAGUUGGUCAAGUCUUUCAUGAGCAUUGGCAUCGGGCAAUAGGACACCCAUGCCUCCUAAGGGCAACCCCACUUCUGGGCCUUCCAUCCUUUGACCCAGCAUCACCUUUUAGCACUAAAACUCUCCAAUCUCUUGCUUAAAAAAAAAUACAGGAGACCACAAACCUGCUGUAUGGCCACCUACUUCUGUACUUUAUUCAUUCCUCCUCCCCGUAAUGAUUAAGCUACACAUCUGCAAAUUCAACCUAUUUCUCAAGGCCCUAUUUCUCAAUUCCAUCUCCUCCCUAGAAACAUACUUAUUUUCCCCAGAGCGAAAAAUAUCUCCCCGAAACUCCUUAAUUGGUAGCUCCGCUCUGAUUUCAAAGAAAGUUGCUUCCUUUCCAUAAGCAACUCAAUGGCAGGAGACAAACCAUAUGGCUUGUCCAGUAUUUUGCACGUGGUAGACAAAUAUUGGCCCGAUGAAUGAGUGGAUAUUCACAUGCAAUAUGUGUCCCUAAUAAGGAGGCCAUCCACCAGUUAUUUUUCAAUUAGGUUAAUAAUGCAAGUAUCACAAUUGAAUCAUUGGCUAAUUAUUAGCAAUCAAAGCUAUACAGAAAUGCAAGCUGAGUUCCAACUCACCUGCCCUUCCCCUUAUACUAAAGCCCUGGGAACUUUAUUAUUGAGCAUUCCAGUCAUUUCUCUCGCCGCUCCCUAAGAGCACAUGUGUGGAAAAUAAUUGAACCUCUCCAGGGCCUGGGCUCUACAGUGGCAGACAGCGAAGGCUUGGAGAGUUGUCUUGGCAGCACGAUGCCAUUUGGGGAAUGUAUGCUCAUGUUGCUACAGAUGGCAUGUUGUUCAGUUUACCCCCUGCAAGUUCAUGUUUAUUGUUCUCCCUCUGGUUUUCCAAGAUGCAAAAAUUAGUUGACUCAGAGCACCACCAAAAUAAAAGUAAAAACAAUACAUACCCUAAGAACAUUAAAAGGAAGGUGGUGGAUGGUGAUCCUUGAGCCCUGUUUUAAGAACUGGUCAUCUCUUGAUGUCACCUGUGUGUGACUCAGGUGGUCCCCUAAUCUGAUUGAGUAUCAAAAUCUACCAGCGAAAUUUUUUUUCCUGAAAAUGCGUGGAGAUUCCUGGGCCCCAUCCUGAGGCCUCUGAAUUUCUGAUUUAUGUCGAUCUGGGAUGAGAGCUUGAAAUACAUACUUUAGAACAAUCUUCCCAGGCGAUUCUGAUGUACAGAUGCGUUUGGAAGCCAAUGGUAUGGAGGAGGGGAUGUGCAGAGAACGAGGCCACUGUAAAGACCGAGAAGCACUACGUUUGCCCAUCUGGCCUUGGAGCCUGUGUGCAAGGCUGCCUCUUGGUUCAGCAAGGCAGGGUGGUCUCUUCCAGGUGGGUUCUCCAAUUGAGUCUGCUAGAAGCAUCACCAGGAGACACUGCUAAUCAAGUAGAUUCCCAGGCCCAGGCCUCCUCAUUCUGGGUUAAUCAUCUUUGAGGAUCUGGGAAUUUGCGUGUCUAACACCCUUCAUGGAAACCUGAUGCACAUGUGUGUGUGUGGGGGGGGGGGUUCCCCUGCCUUUACAGACUUGGGUCCAAGCCUAGCUUUGGAGUUGGCCAAUACCAGCACUGUGAGCCUUUAGGGAUGGCCCCAAGUCCCCCCUCCCACUGCUUCAGCACAGAAAGCAGUCUUCCUGACCCAACACCAUCAGUAGAAACAGCUGCGAUGUCUUGGUUUCUUGGCAUACACAGCUAUUGAGAGCCUUCCAUCCUGAAAGGCACAAGGACUUCCUUGCCUAAGGGAGCGAAACUUGGACCAGCGGCAAGUCUCUCUCUCACUCUCACCAAAUGAGACCUUGGGCUUUUGAGAAAGCAGGAACUAUGCCUGUGUUCACCUCAUAUCCCAAACUGUUAAGGCUCUACCUCCUCUCUGACCACAGUCCGAGCAGCAGGAGAGAGAAUAAGAGCACCCCCACCCGGUGAGGGCCAGGGUGCUCCCUGCAGUGCUUUCUGAUCAGCAGCUGUGCUGGGCUCUUGUGUAAAGGUAGGUGUCCCUACCUGGAGCUCCAUGUCAUUUUGGCAGGCCUCAUGGUCCUGAGGCCCUGAAGACCCAAGCUCCUCUCCACCAGCAUCUCUGAACCUUCCUUCUAGGUGGCUGCCAGGCCACCCCUCUGGGCUCCCAGAACAGGUCUGCCGACCAAAGAGUGGGCGGUGAGGGGUUAGAGGUGAUGCAGCCCUCAGGACCGAAGGUGUGCCUGAUGGACGCCUGGCCAGCAAAUAGCAUAGGGCAGCAUAAUGAGGGUGGGCCAGUUGUCAUGGCAACUCCCCGCCCCUUCUAAAAGUCUGGCCAGUGGGAACCAGUCUCAUUUCAGCUAUCCAAAGUGGGCUGUUUUUUCAGGAAUCAUGCUACAACCUCCUUUCCAUUCCAUGUCCCUGGUGGAUGAGCAUCCUUAAAACUCCUGGUAACCAUAAAAUCUUCCAUGCUUGAUGGACAGAUUCUGCCUUGUCUGCUAAUUGCUAGGAAUGCAUUUGAAAUGCUUGAUAGGAAAUUUGGGACUUGGUUCUAUUUACCAACUAAAGCAAUGAUACACAUACAGGCUAUUCUUGCCGUGUGUGUGUGUGUGUGUGUGUGUGUGUGUGUGUGUGUGUGUCUUAGCAAUUGCUGUGUAACUAACAAUCCCAAAACCUAGUGGCUUAAAACAGUAAACACUGAUUAUUGGUUACAAGCCUCUGGGUUGGCAGAGAGAUCUCCUGGCUUCGGCUGGGCUCCCGUGUUCACUGGCAGUCCCCUGAAGGUGGGGUGGGCAGCUGUCCUUAUCUUGGCUGGGUUCUCCCAUGUGUCUGCAGGUCAGCAGGUUGAAGGAUGAUUUAUGAUGUCCUCAAGCCAGCACAAAUGGCAACUGAUUCCUCCACGUGGCCACUAUUCUUCCGCUAGUGAAUAGCAUCAUCCUAUGUUUGUCUUCUGGGAGACAGGGUGCUGAAAGAGAGAAGAAUCAACCAAAGGUUCUUGAGGCCCAGCCUCUGAACAGGCCCCUUCAUUUCUGCCACAUUCUACUAGUCAAAGGAAGUCAUGGGACCAGUCCAGAUUUUCAAGGGCGGGGAAGAAAAUAGAUUCCUUCUCCUCAAGGAGAAAGAUGCAAGGCCAUAUUUAAAACCACACAUGGAUGUAGAGAAAGGAAGAAUUGGGGCCAUUUGGUAACAUUUUACCACAAUGCGGACAGGUUCGGUGUUGCAAAACCAUUCUCUUUAAAAGUCCCAUGGACUCACUUUGCAAUAUAUUACCAAUAUUAGAACAAAUUUCAAAUUAUGUUAAUGCCCAAUGAGUGAGUAAAGGAGUGAAUGAAGGAAUAAAUGAAUGACUUUAGUCCCUCAGACGCCACAUAUGGAUUGAGCACCCCCUCCCCCUGCGUCCCCUCCUUUGCAUAGUUCAGAGUUCCAGUCCCCACUCCUCCCUCCCAGAGUCCCACCACAUUGGAAGCUCCCGUGAUUCGAGACUCAGGGCUUUUCCAAGGCCAGCAGGGUGAAGUCAGGUCAGCAGGAAUGUGGUCCAGGCAUUGUAACCCAAUGCCAGGGAGAUGCCGCAAACCACACGGAGCUGGGCAGCCUAGGACUCCCCGCCCCGGGCUCCGUAGUCCCGGAAGUUGCUGAGCCUGGAGAAUAAGCACAGUGUCCUUUAUAAAAACAAGUGGCACCAGUGAGGCCAACCGGGGAACGUGGAACAUAAACAUGAAUUGUCCCUGGGAAAGUGAUCCUAACAACCGCCCCAGAGGAGAAGCUGUCAGGGAGGAGUUGUCAGUAGGUGGGGAACAGGGGGUCCUCUAGGGGGCACUCUAGAGCCUUCCGCACUCUGUCUCACUGGACUACAGGACUGCAGGCUUAACAGCUGUGUGAUUUCUAAUUUGCCCUCUUCCGUGUCUCACUGUUGAAUGGUUGUCUCCAUAUUCCAGUUGGGGACGUUAAUGUCCCCUGUUCACCAGGUGGAUGUAGGUUGUUGAUCCUGGGAGCGCGGGGUGGGGAGGGCUCCAUCUAAAAGGUAGGACCCCCUCAGUGCACUAAGAGGCCGGGAAACUGGAGCUACCACACCCCCCUACAGGCUUGGAAACUGCCUCUUCUCCUCCCUCACUGUGCCCAUCCCGGUGGCACUCUUGCCUCUGGCGCCUAGCGGAACCCCGGUUUUAGGUUUGGGUUUGGGAUUUCACUGGUAUAUCCUAAAAGCAUCCCGAGGAUUUGCUAGCUCUGAGUGGAGGCAACGUCUCUCUUUCCUUUCCAAAAAGCCAGCAGGGGGAGCAGCAAAGCCCCUGGGCCUUGUUUUAAUUUUAUUUUUAACGUCUGUCUUUUGCAUACAUUAUACAUAAUCCCCUCAUCCCCCACAUGACUGUGAUCAAUUUGUUCUUUUAGGAAAUAAGACGG